rnacentral:rRNA from 1 species
CAGCCGUACCUGCGGACAAUCAGCUUUUUGAGUGUGAUUAUGUGGAUUGUGAGGAGUUUAAUCACCCUCAUGUUUUACGUAUUCGUGCUCUUGGGUGUACUUGUCCGUGUGGUGGGUUAACAUCAAUUUCGGUCGUCAUAAAAUGGCUGGAGGAAUGUAGCUUUGAUCUCGUAUCGAAGUGUUAUAGACUCUGGUAGAUGUGACGAUUGGGAUU